CACGUAGGGUGCAAGCGUUGUCCGGAUUCAUUGGGCGUAAAGGGAGCGUAGGCGGGUUAUCAAGUUGGGGGUGAAAGCCCGGGGCUCAACCUCGGAAUUGCCUUCAAAACUGAUAACCUGGAGUAUGGAAGAGGUAAGUGGAACUCCGAGUGUAGAGGUGAAAUUCGUAGAUAUUCGGAAGAACACCAGUGGCGAAGGCGACUUACUGGUCCAUUACUGACGCUGAGGCUCGAAAGCGUGGGGAGCAAACAGG
rnacentral:rRNA from 1 species